AUGAACGCUAGCUACAGGCUUAACACAUGCAAGUCGAGGGGAAACGACAUCGAAAGCUUGCUUUUGAUGGGCGUCGACCGGCGCACGGGUGAGUAACGCGUAUCCAACCUGCCCACCACUUGGGGAUAACCUUGCGAAAGUAAGACUAAUACCCAAUGACGUCUCUAGAAGACAUCUGAAGGAGAUUAAAGAUUUAUCGGUGAUGGAUGGGGAUGCGUCUGAUUAGCUUGUUGGCGGGGUAACGGCCCACCAAGGCGACGAUCAGUAGGGGUUCUGAGAGGAAGGUCCCCCACAUUGGAACUGAGACACGGUCCAAACUCCUACGGGAGGCAGCAGUGAGGAAUAUUGGUCAAUGGGCGAGAGCCUGAACCAGCCAAGUAGCGUGCAGGAUGACGGCCCUAUGGGUUGUAAACUGCUUUUAUAAGGGAAUAAAGUGAGUCUCGUGAGACUUUUUGCAUGUACCUUAUGAAUAAGGACCGGCUAAUUCCGUGCCAGCAGCCGCGGUAAUACGGAAGGUCCGGGCGUUAUCCGGAUUUAUUGGGUUUAAAGGGAGCGUAGGCCGGAGAUUAAGCGUGUUGUGAAAUGUAGACGCUCAACGUCUGCACUGCAGCGCGAACUGGUUUCCUUGAGUACGCACAAAGUGGGCGGAAUUCGUGGUGUAGCGGUGAAAUGCUUAGAUAUCACGAAGAACUCCGAUUGCGAAGGCAGCUCACUGGAGCGCAACUGACGCUGAAGCUCGAAAGUGCGGGUAUCGAACAGGAUUAGAUACCCUGGUAGUCCGCACGGUAAACGAUGGAUGCCCGCUGUUGGUCUGAAUAGGUCAGCGGCCAAGCGAAAGCAUUAAGCAUCCCACCUGGGGAGUACGCCGGCAACGGUGAAACUCAAAUGAAUUGACGGAAGG
rnacentral:rRNA from 1 species